GAUGAACGCUGGCGGCGUGCCUAAUACAUGCAAGUCGAGCGAAUGGAUUAAGAGCUUGCUCUUAUGAAGUUAGCGGCGGACGGGUGAGUAACACGUGGGUAACCUGCCCAUAAGACUGGGAUAACUCCGGGAAACCGGGGCUAAUACCGGAUAACAUUUUGAACCGCGUGGUUCGAAAUUGAAAGGUGGCUUCGGCUGUCACUUAUGGAUGGACCCGCGUCGCAUUAGCUAGUUGGGGAGGUAACGGCUCACCAAGGCAACGAUGCGUAGCCGACCUGAGAGGGUGAUCGGCCACACUGGGACUGAGACACGGCCCAGACUCCUACGGGAGGCAGCAGUAGGGAAUCUUCCGCAAUGGACGAAAGUCUGACGGAGCAACGCCGCGUGAGUGAUGAAGGCUUUCGGGUCGUAAAACUCUGUUGUUAGGGAAGAACAAGUGCUAGUUGAAUAAGCUGGCACCUUGACGGUACCUAACCAGGAAGCCACGGCUAACUACGUGCCAGCCGCCGCGGUAA
rnacentral:rRNA from 1 species